GCGGAAGUGGCGGAAUUGGUAGACGCACCAGAUUUAGGUUCUGGCGCCGCAAGGUGUGAGAGUUCAAGUCUCUCUUUCCGCA
rnacentral:tRNA from 1 species